GUGCUCGCUUCGGCAGCACAUAUACUAAAAUUGGAACGAUACAGAGAAGAUUAGCAUGGCCCCUGCGCAAAAGUUAAUUUUUAUAUACAGAUAUAACAAACAGAUAU
ensembl:snRNA U6 U6 spliceosomal RNA